UAGGGAAUCUUCCACAAUGGACGCAAGUCUGAUGGAGCAACGCCGCGUGAGUGAAGAAGGUUUUCGGACCGUAAAGCUCUGUUGUUGGUGAAGAAGGAUAGAGGUAGUAACUGGCCUUUAUUUGACGGUAAUCAACCAGAAAGUCACGGCUAACUACGUGCCAGCAGCCGCGGUAAUACGUAGGUGGCAAGCGUUGUCCGGAUUUAUUGGGCGUAAAGCGAGCGCAGGCGGAAGAAUAAGUCUGAUGUGAAAGCCCUCGGCUUAACCGAGGAAUUGCAUCGGAAACUGUUUUCUUGAGUGCAGAAGAGGAGAGUAGAACUCCAUGUGUAGCGGUGGAAUGCGUAGAUAUAUGGAGGAACACCGGUGGCGAAAGCGGCUCUCUGGUCUGUAACUGACGCUGAGGCUCGAAAGCAUGGGUAGCGAACAGGAUUAGAUACCCUGGUAGUCCAUGCCGUAAACGAUGAGUGCUAAGUGUUGGGAGGCUUCCGCCUCUCAGUGCUGCAGCUAACGCAUUAAGCACUCCGCCUGGGGGAGUACGACCGCAAGGUUGAAAC
rnacentral:rRNA from 1 species